rnacentral:misc_RNA from 1 species
GAUGAAGAACGUAGCAAAAUGCGAUAAGUAAUGUGAAUUGCAGAAUUCAGUGAAUCAUCGAAUCUUUGAACGCACAUUGCGCCCCCUGGUAUUCCGGGGGGCAUGCCUGUCCGAGCGUCAUUACAACCCUCAAGCUCAGCUUGGUAUUGGGCCCCGCCGCUCCGGCGGGCCCUAAAGUCAGUGGCGGUGCCGUCCGGCUCCGAGCGUAGUAAUUCUUCUCGCUCUGGAGGUCCGGUCGUGUGCUCGCCAGCAACCCCCAAUUUUUUUCAGGUUGACCUCGGAUCAGGUAGGGAUACCCGCUGAACUUAAGCAUAUCAAUAAGCGGAGGA